GGAAUUUCUAACCCAUAAACUUUAUAAUUUCUAAACCCCUAUACUUCCAAACACAUAAACCUCCAAACUCGUAACUUGUAAAAUUUUGAACCUUUAAACCGAUAAAUACCCAACUUCAGACAGUAAUCCAACAAGAUCUAAAUAAUAUACACAAAUAAUAUAAAAAUAAUGUAGGAAUAUAUACCAAAUGAUAAAAUCUUAUCAUGUUAUCAGUUAUAAUACCUAUCAUACAGAUUUAUCAGUAAUUAACUUAAACUUCAUGUGAAACAUAAUGCUAUGAUAACAUCAGUCAUUAGACAGUCUUAAACAUCACAACAAACACAAUACUCUUAUUUGGCCAAGAGGCCUAAUACAUAAACAUGAAAAUGACUAGCUAGCUAACAAAUUAAACACACAAUAUUAAUAUUUGUUGAAAAUUCAAUAAGAAGUAAGUACAGAUAUAGGAUAAACAUAAUCUGCCUUGCCCUUUAGAUUUCUCUUCAAAUUAUCAUUUCCUUGAGCCUAUUAAGUGCUAACUCAAAAGGAAUUGAAAAUGCCAAAGGAUAGAAGUUGCCCUUUCCAACCAAGAAACCACCACCAAGAAAAUCAAUGGCCAUUUUCCUUACCGUCUCCGGUGAGGGACGACCAUCUUUUCCGACCACCAAUUUGGUGGGUGGCAAAAUUGAUAGUCGCCCACCAAAACGGAGGCCUCACAUGAAAGGGGGAGAGAGGGUUUGUUUCCAAAGGUUUGGCUCAGUUUUUAUAAGGCUGGGCUUGCUUCUUUUGUCGUUGGAUAUGAGGGCAACCAAACAAGACUUUAACCUCUCAUGUACACAAAUACGAAUUCAGAAUUUAAAUUUAAUCGGUUAAAAAUUUAUAUAUAUAUAUUCAGUGGAAAAUAUGUUCACAGCUGAAUCUAUAAAUGAUAUUUGCUACAUACGCUUCUGUAGAGAUGAAUCUCGAAAUUU
rnacentral:lncRNA from 1 species